rnacentral:misc_RNA from 1 species
GGGGCAUAUUUUAUUGGUUCUGUAUUGACACAAUGUAUUAGCAACCAGAGCACAUCAUGUAUAAGGCACAUAAGUUGGAAAAUAGGAUAGGUGGUUAUUUAUUGAUAAGUUAGCUGUUAAAUUGGAGGUGAAUUUCCUUCUCAUAUGAAGUUAAACAGAACAUUUCACAAUAACACAACAACAACAACAAAAACACCACCACCAUGAAAUAAAAAGUUGCACGUACCUUGUGGCCAAAGUAGUGGCCAGCUGGGUCACAUUUAUAGAGACGAGGUCCAAAUUCAUCAUCAAUACCCAAAACCAUAGCAACUUCCAAAAGCAAAAAUUGAAAAAUCAUGAGAAAGAAUUAACCUCACUGAACAGGCAGAUGAAAGUAAGAGCUUAAAAGAGAAAAAGGCAGGUGUGGAGAGAAAGAUAUAAAUCCUUCACAACAGCAAAGAAGACCAAAAAUUUACCUACUCCAAGUGGUCUCAUAUAAGCAUGUUGUGUAUAAAUUUGAGAUUUGUCAGCUAUCCUGUCCACCAAAGCAUUUUAACGUAAGUUGACUCCAUCAUACAUCAGUAACUUAAAGCAAUGAUAAUAUGAUAAACUGGAAAACACCAAGUCAACGGUGCAGUCAACUUUACAGGCAAAGUAUAAGCCAAUCGUAUGCUGCUAAAGAAUGGUAACAUAAGUAAGAGGAAAGGAAGGUGCUGAUUAUGUGCAGCAUGUUCUAUGAAGAGAGCAAAUCUACUUGAAUAACAAUUACAGCAAUUCAUGUGAGCACCUUUUGGGUGUUCUCACCCUGCUUCUGAUGAUAUGAGAUCCCUCUGCUGCAGUCUACUGGAUGUCCAAGACCUCACUAAUGGGUUACAAUGCUUUUCCAAUCCAAGUAACUUCCAUUUUUUUGUGACAUGAAUGCACAUUAUUAAUUUUAAAAAUUAGGAAACCUUGAAUUGAAAAUAUUUAUGCCACAAGCAUGAAUGACAUCUCAGACAUCAAUCUAGGAAACAUGCAUAGCAAUGACUGACUCAAAAGUAGUCCAUGUUUCCUUCAUUCAUAGUUUUCAAACUACAAUGAAACUGUCUUAAUAUCCAAGUGAACAAAACAAAAUAUCAUCUGAUAAUAUUUAACCUAGAUGAACAAAACUGUAACCUUGAGCAGUGAAUCAAAACAGUCUCUUAUCCUGCUUUUCUAAGCAAGCCAUGCAUCAUCCAGAUUACUUCUUGUAUUUUAUUUUACCCAAUAGUUUAUAUCAAGGUGACUGUAGCUGUUUUAAAUCUACACCACAGGAUGUCGACUACAAAAUCAACUUACAAGUUACAAAUCAAAUGCCUAUAUUUAAAGCAAUAACAAACAGGACAUGUGACAGUCAUAAACCACAUUCUAAGAGAGGGAAAGUAAACAAGUUACAACCAUAUGGUUGAAUAUCACUUUGGUUUCUUUAACACAAAAUUGAAGCUUAAAAGAAAGAACGGAUGCAUUUAACUAACUAGCUCAAACAUAUAACAAAGUCACUCAGUGUAUAUUUGUUAAUCUGUCAUGUCAUGUAAAACAAAGAAAUUA